rnacentral:lncRNA from 1 species
GGACAGAGACUUCCCGGUGAGCUACUCUCUAUCGUUCCUACUCAAGUACUAUCUUGACUGCUAUCUAUCGUUCUAUUUUAACCUUCGUUAACAACCUUCCUUUCCUGGUCUUUCACUCCUUACUCUGAACGAGAUGAGCCCUCACUCCAGGAAGAAAAACCUUGCACCUUAGAAUAGAAUCGAUUCUAGCUACCUUUCGGAGAUUAAGUAGGCCCUUUCCUUUUCUCCGAGCUCCUAGGGUCUAUCCCUUCGGAGAGUUCCUAGGCUAACGUCUAUCCCUUUUCUUGCUUUCCCUAGUCCCUGACUCACAAGUAGUACAUUUAGAAAGAAUAGAUAUAGAAAACAGAGAUCCCGCUUAACCUUUCGUAGCUGACUUGAGUCCCUCAAAACUCAUUCGAUUGCUCGUGACGGAUAGAUACAUAUGGGGUUUAGCUAUUGAAGUGAGUCUUUGUCCGAGAUGCAUGUGUUAAAGCUAUUCUUCUAUUCUCUUUACUUACACCUUACACUUCCGCCUUAUC